UACAGAGGGUGCGAGCGUUAAUCGGAAUUACUGGGCGUAAAGCGCACGUAGGCGGCUUGGUAUGUCGGGUGUGAAAUCCCCGGGCUCAACCUGGGAACUGCAUCCGAAACUGCCUUGCUCGAGUAUGGGAGAGGGAAGUGGAAUUUCCGGUGUAGCGGUGAAAUGCGUAGAUAUCGGAAGGAACAUCAGUGGCGAAGGCGGCUUUCUGGACAGACACCGACGCUGAGGCACGAAAGCUAGGGGAGCAAACAGG
rnacentral:rRNA from 1 species